AGGAGAGAUGCAGAGUGCACGCCCUGCAGAAGAGGGACUGGCCAGGCUGAGGAUAGACUAGGGGGCCCUAUGGUGGUUCUUGCUGAUAUGGUGGGGGCACUGGAUUAUACUGUGGCGGUGCCGGGCAAUACUGUGGCUGUGGCACUGGAUUAUACUGCGGUGGUAGCACCGGGUGGUACUAUGGAGGAGUAGGCUCGUACCGGGGUUGCUCAGGAUCCUCUCGCUGCAGUGGUGGCUCAACCUGUGGCAGCGAGGGAGGGUCAGGUAGUUCCCUUCUCUCCUCUCGGCCCUACUGAGCAGUAAUGAGUCUCUCCAGCAUCUCAAAUAUCUUGUCAACGUCUUCCCGAAGCAAACCAUCCUGGGUUAUUCGAUUUAGUGGGGGUCUUCCUCUUCUCAUCUCUCCGUACCUGCAUUUCACAAGGAAGGGUUGAGUAAUUCAUUGGUUUGGUGUUUCUCUAAGUAUCAUUGUGUAAGGGACGAGUUCGAGGAACGCGGCUCUGAUACCAACUGUAACAACUCCAGAAAUCC
rnacentral:lncRNA from 1 species